rnacentral:rRNA from 1 species
UACGGAGGGGGCAAGCGUUGUUCGGAAUCAUUGGGCGUAAAGGGCGCGUAGGCGGCCGUCCAAGUCGGGUGUGAAAUCCCUCGGCUCAACCGAGGAACUGCACUCGAUACUGGUUGGCUAGAGUCCGGGAGGGGAUGGUGGAAUUCCCAGUGUAGCGGUGAAAUGCGUAGAUAUUGGGAAGAACACCGGUGGCGAAGGCGGCCAUCUGGACCGGAACUGACGCUGAGGCGCGAAAGCCAGGGGAGCAAGCAGG